rnacentral:rRNA from 1 species
GACGAACCGAGCGAACGUUGUUCGGAAUCACUGGGCUUAAAGGGCGCGUAGGCGGGUGCUCAAGUCCGGGGUGAAAUCCUCCAGCUCAACUGGAGAACUGCCUCGGAUACUGGGCGUCUCGAGUGUGGUAGGGGUAUGCGGAACUAUCGGUGGAGCGGUGAAAUGCGUUGAUAUCGAUAGGAACUCCGGUGGCGAAGGCGGCAUACUGGACCACUACUGACGCUGAUGCGCGAAAGCCAGGGGAGCGAACGGG